UUCACAGUGUUCCUAAUAGAUAGU
rnacentral:miRNA from 1 species